rnacentral:siRNA from 1 species
CAAGUGGUUGAGUAGAGAGAAUGG